rnacentral:sRNA from 1 species
AGUAUAAGAAUAAGAGCGACCGUAACAGGUCGCUCAUUUAUUUGUCCUUUGUCUACACUCUUGGUUUGGCCGCCGAUCAGUAGCAAAGGCAUUUCUGGCGUUACGCAUAGCUGGCUGUUAGCUUUGUUCCUUACGCUUAAAAACUAACAGUUUUUGUAACCAGAUGCCUGAGUCUAGACUCAGGCUUUUUUAU